UGUGACCUCAAAUCAGGUAGGACUACCCGCUGAACUUAAGCAUAUCAAUAAGCGGAGGAAAAGAAACUAACAAGGAUUCCCCUAGUAACUGCGAGUGAAGCGGGAAAAGCUCAAAUUUAAAAUCUGGCAGUCUUAUGGCUGUCCGAGUUGUAAUCUAGAGAAGUGUUAUCCGCGCUGGACCGUGUACAAGUCUCCUGGAAUGGAGCAUCAUAGAGGGUGAGAAUCCCGUCUUUGACAUGGACUGCCAGGGCUUUGUGAUGCGCUCUCAAAGAGUCGAGUUGUUUGGGAAUGCAGCUCAAAAUGGGUGGUAAAUUCCAUCUAAAGCUAAAUAUUGGCGAGAGACCGAUAGCGAACAAGUACCGUGAGGGAAAGAUGAAAAGAACUUUGGAAAGAGAGUUAAACAGUACGUGAAAUUGCUGAAAGGGAAACGCUUGAAGUCAGUCGCGUCAUCCAGGGAUCAACCUUGCUUUUGCUUGGUGCACUUCCUGGUUUGAUGGGUCAGCAUCAAUUUUGACUAUUGGAAAAAGGUUGAGGGAAUGUGGCAUCUUUGGAUGUGUUAUAGCCCUUGGUCACAUACAAUGGUUGGGAUUGAGGAACUCAGCACGCCGCAAGGCCGGGUUUUAAACCACGUACGUGCUUAGGAUGCUGGCAAUAUGGCUUUAAUCGACCCGUCUUGAAACACGGACCAAGGAGUCUAACAUGCCUGCGAGUGUUUGGGUGGAAAACCCGAACGCGUAAUGAAAGUGAAAGGUUGAGAUCCCUGUCGUGGGGAGCAUCGACGCCCGGACCAGACCUUUUGUGACGGUUCCGCGGUAGAGCAUGUAUGUUGGGACCCGAAAGAUGGUGAACUAUGCCUGAAUAGGGUGAAUCCAGAGGAAACUCUGGUGGAGGCUCGUAGCGAUUCUGACGUGCAAAUCGAUCGUCAAAUUUGGGUAUAGGGGCGAAAGACUAAUCGAACC
rnacentral:rRNA from 1 species